ACCUUCAACUGAAUAACUGAAAAUUCUGUCCCCAUUCAAGUAUAGAUAUUUUUUUGAAAUAAAAUUUACUUAGUUCAAUCUAAAUUUUAACAACAAAUUAGUACUAAAAUUCACAUCCGAUUCCAUCUCAUGGGCAUUGGAUAAAAAAUGCUGGAUAAUAAGAAAAGUAUGGACUAAUAAGCUUUCGUAUGACAAACCAGGUUUAAUGAAUUUGAUUUGUCUAACAUCAACUCUGAAAACUCCGAAUUGAACACGUUGCCGGUCCUAAUCGCUGUGGAAAUUGGUUGAAGGCACUGGGAAACUCAGCCUCGGAGAGAAAGGGGUUUGAUCACUAGUGUGAGGAGUUAAUGAACCAACGGGAUAAUUACUCGAUGAACGCCUACACUUGGCAAUGAGGUUUCGUUUGUUAUGUUUGAGGGGGGAAAGAAGAAUUGCUGCCCAUUUCUGUAUUCCGAGAAGGUGAGUGUAAAUCCAAUUGGUUGACCAAAUCAAGUUUUCUCUACGAUCUCGUUGACGGCGCGAAGAAAUAAAAUAAUACAUUUUUAUUUGGUGAAGAAGACGGUUUCGUUUUCUUCUAUUCCGUUCAGAUUUAACAAUAUAGAAUAGUUCAUGUGUGGUUCAUUAACGUGAAAGACGUGAGAAAUGUGCAAAUGAACGUAUU